CUUGUGAAUGAGUGAUCCUGGUGCACACACAUGCACACACACUCACCUGGCCCCUAUAUUUCAAAGCCUUCUUCAAAGCCAGACAAAGCCAGACAAUGAAGGGCAUCAUGCCUCAAACACUGUCCCCUAAUUUCCUGAUUCCUAGGUUUUCCAAAUCAGGCUGCCAUACUUGUAUCUUGGUGAUUUUUAGAUAUCUCACAAUACUAAGUAACAGUAAAGAGUGGGAGUCAGUAGAAUGAACCAUGGGGAAUGACUUGGGGGAAACACCCCUGUCUGCUGUGUAUACAAUUAGAAUUGACCAGGGAGAGACAAAGAGGGGUGGCAGGGCAGUAUGAGAAGGCUCUUUAGCAGUUAUCUUUUCCAGCUAGAGCAUUUUGGCCUACCUAGCAUCCCCACCCCUCCAGAGUGGUCCUUUGUGAUGUCUAAGCUCCCCUUAACCACCAUUGGCUGCAGUGAGUGCCCUGCUGACUAAACAGAGCAGAAGGGGUGUGACUCCCCAUUGUUCUGGGAGAGGUAUAUAUACAGAGGACAAACUCCUGGGGUUAGACAACUGAGAGGCUGCAAGAUGGCAAAAGUGGUGAAGAAAUCAUGGAAACCACAAACCACAAGCACCAAGCGGUGGAAGAAGAGGAAGACCACCUCUCAACCCAGAUCAAGAGGCAUUAGCAAGGUGCUAAAGACAUACAAGAAGAUGAAAAGAUCACUUCACAUGAGUUUAAGAAAAAAAUACUCUCCUAAAGUUAUAACUACUUCAAGAAGAAAGAAGAGAGCAAGGAGGGCCAAUUAAUUUCACCCAUAGACUGAGCCAAAAGCAGCCAGGCCAGACCCAACGGACUCUAUAGAACUACACCAUUCCAAGACAAGACUGGUGCAAACACUACAUACAGAGCAAGCUUCAGAGACCUCAGAUGGUCUGCCUCUAGAGUCCUGGCUGCGGAGAAGUGGCCAACUGCGUAGAGACUGAUACAGAUGCUAAUAUGAAACAUGGAACACAAAUGGAGGUGAUUAAAAUAAAACCAAUAGGGUGUAAGAAGCCCCUCCAAAAAAUAAAAUCAGGCAUUCUGCAUAGAAAUGAA